UACAGGCUUAACACAUGCAAGUCGAGGGGCAGCAUUGGAGUAGCAAUACUCAGAUGGCGACCGGCGCACGGGUGAGUAACACGUAUCCAACCUGCCGCUUACUCGGGGAUAGCCUUUCGAAAGAAAGAUUAAUACCCGAUGGUAUAAAGAGUUCGCAUGUUCUCUUUAUUAAAGAAUUUCGGUAAGCGAUGGGGAUGCGUUCCAUUAGAUAGUUGGCGGGGUAACGGCCCACCAAGUCUACGAUGGAUAGGGGUUCUGAGAGGAAGGUCCCCCACAUUGGAACUGAGACACGGUCCAAACUCCUACGGGAGGCAGCAGUGAGGAAUAUUGGUCAAUGGACGAGAGUCUGAACCAGCCAAGUAGCGUGAAGGAUGACUGCCCUAUGGGUUGUAAACUUCUUUUAUAAGGGAAUAAAGUGAGGGACGUGUCCCUUUUUGUAUGUACCUUAUGAAUAAGGAUCGGCUAACUCCGUGCCAGCAGCUGC
rnacentral:rRNA from 1 species